rnacentral:rRNA from 1 species
GGACCAAGGAGUCUAGCAUGUGCGCGAGUCACUGGGAAACAGAGACUAAACCUAGAGGCGCAGUGAAAGCGAAGGUGCCGUCCUCGGCACCGUGGGAGGACGGGCGGCGGCCGCCUCGCGGCGCACGCCGCCCCGCACUCCCGGGGCGUCUCGCACUCAUCGCGAGGCGAGGCGCACCGCGAGCGUACACGCUGGGACCCGAAAGAUGGUGAACUAUGCCUGGUCAGGACGAAGUCAGGGGAAACCCUGAUGGAGGUCCGUAGCGAUUCUGACGUGCAAAUCGAUCGUCGGAACUGGGUAUAGGGGCGAAAGACUAAUCGAACCAUCUAGUAGCUGGUUCCCUCCGAAGUUUCCCUCAGGAUAGCUGGCGCUCGGGCGAAACGAGCACGCCUCGCGCGUGUCGCACGAGUCUCAUCCGGUAAAGCGAAUGAUUAGAGGCAUUGGGGUCGAAACGGCCUCAACCUAUUCUCAAACUUUAAAUGGGUGAGAUCUCCGGCUUGCUUGAACCGUGAAGCCGGAGAUCGGAUCAACGGGCGCCAAGUGGGCCACUUUUGGUAAGCAGAACUGGCGCUGUGGGAUGAACCAAACGUCGAGUUAAAGCGCCAAAAUCGACGCUUAUGGGACACCAGAAAGGCGU